GCUUCCUGGAUAGCUCAAUCAGUAGAGCACGAGACUCUUAUUCUUAGGGUUGUGGGUUUGAGCCCCAUGUUGAGCA